CGUAGUUGAAUGGGUAUUCCUAAAAAUCCCAUANCAAACUGCUCAGUAACACAUGAUCAACUUGCCCUAUGGAGGACAAUAACCUCGGGAAACUGAGGAUAAUAGUCCAUAGUUGAUUAGGCUUGGAAAAGUUCUUCAAUGAAUGGAAUAAGAAAAAUGGUUCUUAUUUGCCAUAGGAUAGGAUCGUGCUCGAUUAUGGUUGUUGGUGAGGUAAAGGCUCACCAAGCCGAUAAUCGAUAGGGGCCGUGAGAGCGGUUGCCCCGAGAUGGGUACGGAGAUAACGACCCAGGCCUUACGAGGCGCAGCAGGCGCGAAACCUCAUCACUACACGAAAGUGUGAAUGGGUUACCCAAAGUGUCCUUAUUGGACUGUGGUAGGUGAGUAAUGUUCCCUACUAGAAAGGAGAGGGCAAGGCUGGUGCCAGCCGCCGCGGUAAAACCAGCUCUUCAAGUGGUCGGGAUAAUUAUUGGGCUUAAAGUGUCCGUAGCCGGUAUGGUAAGUUCCUGGUAAAAUCGGGUAGCUUAACUAUCUGUGUGCUAGGAAUACUGCUAUACUAUAGGGCGGGAGAGGUCUGAGCUACUACGGGGGUAGGGGUGAAAUCUUAUAAUCCUCGUAGGACCACCGGUGGCGAAGGCGUCAGACUGGAACGCGCCUGACGGUGAGGGACGAA
rnacentral:rRNA from 1 species